UUCAAUGAGAAGGGGAGCUGGGCGGCAGCCCGGCUGAGAGGACGUUAAGCGUCGACCCUUUGAACCUGAACCAGGUAAUACUGGCGGAGGGAAUCAAAAAUGAGUGAUCU
rnacentral:ncRNA from 2 species